GCCAGAGUGGUGCAGUGGUUUGAGUGUUGGACUAGAAGAACUCUGGAGACCAGGGUUCGAUUCCUGGCUUGGCCA